UUUAACAGCCAUAUUAAACUCUUCCCUUCUCAGGCCCAGAGACCCUGUGUUGUGUCUACAGCUGCAUAAUAGUCCAGCUUGCAGUACUUGGUUGUCCAUUAGAUGUCCCUCCUAGGACAGGUCUAUAGAUGUCCCUCCUAUAGGACAGGUCUAUAGAUGUCCCUCCUAUAGGACAGGUCUAUAGAUGUCCCUCCUAUAGGACAGGUCUAAUAGGACAGGUCUAUAGAUGUCCCUCCUAGGACAGGCCUAUAGAUGUCCCUCCUAUAGGACAGGCCUAUAGAUGUCCCUCCUAUAGGACAGGUCUAUAGAUGUCCCUCCUAUAGGACAGGUCUAUAGAUGUCCCUCCUAUAGGACAGGUCUAUAGAUGUCCCUCCUAUAGGACAGGUCUAUAGCAGGUCGGCAAACGUUUUGACUCGCGGUCACAGUAGGUUUGUAAAAUGUGACGGAGGAAGAACAAAUGGUUGAAGUGUUUGUGUGAGCG
ensembl:lncRNA